rfam:Azospirillum sp. B510 plasmid pAB510f DNA, complete genome.
ACCUGGAUCCGGGCCCCUCUGGCGACUUAGACGUGGUCGCGAUGUCGGAUCUCUUCA